rnacentral:rRNA from 1 species
RGUUAAGUGACUAAGCGUACACGGUGGAUGCCUAGGCAAUCAGAGGCGAAGAAGGACGUGCUAAUCUGCGAAAAGCUUGGAUGAGUUGAUAAGAAGCGUUUAAUCCAAGAUAUCCGAAUGGGGAAACCCGAUGGAUGAAGAAUCCAUCAUUUCAUUAUGAAUCCAUAGUAAUGAAAGGCAAACCGGGAGAACUGAAACAUCUAAGUACCCCGAGGAAAAGAAAUCAACCGAGAUUUUGUCAGUAGCGGCGAGCGAAAACGAAAGAGCCAGCAAGUGAUAGCAGCAAAGACAGAAGAAUUGGCUGGGAAGCCAAGCGACACAGGGUGAUAGCCCCGUAUUYKAAGUUUWUGUUGUGGUACUAARCUUGCAACAAGUAGGGCGGGACACGAGAAAUCCUGUUUGAAGAUGGGGGGACCAUCCUCCAAGGCUAAAUACUCCUGAUUGACCGAUAGUGAACCAGUACUGUGAAGGAAAGGCGAAAAGAACCCCAGUGAGGGGAGUGAAAUAGAACCUGAAACCGUGUACGUACAAGCAGUGGGAGCUCUUUGGGGUGACUGCGUACCUUUUGUAUAAUGGGUCAGCGACUUAUAUUUUGUAGCGAGGUUAACUGAAUAAGGGAGCCGAAGGGAAACCGAGUCUUAACUGGGCGGWKAGUUGCAAGGUAUAGACCCGAAACCCGGUGAUCUAGCCAUGGGCAGGUUGAAGGUUGGGUAACACUAACUGGAGGACCGAACCGACUAAUGUUGAAAAAUUAGCGGAUGACUUGUGGCUGGGGGUGAAAGGCCAAUCAAACCGGGAGAUAGCUGGUUCUCCCCGAAAUCUAUUUAGGUAGAGCCUUAUGUGAAUACCUUCGGGGGUAGAGCACUGUUUCGGCUAGGGGUCCAUCCCGGAUUACCAACCCGAUGCAAACUGCGAAUACCGAAGAGUAAUGCAUAGGAGACACACGGUGGGUGCUAACGUCCAUCGUGGAGAGGGAAACAACCCAGACCGCCAGCUAAGGUCCCAAAGUCUAUAUUAAGUGGGAAACGAAGUGGGAAGGCUUAGACAGCUAGGAUGUUGGCUUAGAAGCAGCCAUCAUUUAAAGAAAGCGUAAUAGCUCACUAGUCGAGUCGGCCUGCGCGGAAGAUGUAACGGGGCUAAAAUAUAGCACCGAAGCUGCGGCAUCAG